AACGAACGCUGGCGGCAUGCUUAACACAUGCAAGUCGAACGGUCUUAUGGGGCUUGCUCCAUAAGGUAGUGGCAGACGGGUGAGUAACACGUGGGAACGUACCCUAAGGUUCGGAAUAACAGUUGGAAACGACUGAUAAUACCGGAUAUCUCCGAGAGGAGAAAGGUUUACCGCCUUGGGAGCGGCCCGCGUCUGAUUGGGUAGUUGGUGAGGUAAAGGAUCACCAAGCCGAGGAUCAGUAGCUGGUAUGAGAGAAUGAUCAGCCACACUGGGACUGAGACACGGCCCAGACGCCUACGAUAGGCAGCAGUGGGGAAUAUUGGACAAUGGGGGAAACCCUGAUCCAGCAAUGCCGCGUGAGUGAAGAAGGCCUUCGGGUUGUAAAGCUCUUUUGUCCGUGACGAUAAUGACGGUAGCGGACGAAUAAGCACCGGCUAACUUCGUGCCAGCAGCCGCGGUAA
rnacentral:rRNA from 1 species